UACAUUAGAAGGUCAUCUACAUAUUGCAGA
rnacentral:piRNA from 1 species